CGACUGGCUCUUCUCAGAGCCACUAAUUUUUUCAGCAAAUAAAAA
rfam:Tribolium castaneum strain Georgia GA2 linkage group LG10, whole genome shotgun sequence.